rnacentral:rRNA from 1 species
GGUGAACGCUGGCGGCGUGCCUAAGACAUGCAAGUCGAACGAUCGUCUUCGGACGGUAGUGGCGCACGGGUGAGUAACGCGUAACGGAUCUGCCCCCAAGUUCCUAAUAACCCUCCGGAAGGAGGUCCAAGACACGAUGUGCUGUCCCCUCCAGUGGAGCCAGUAAAGGCUUUCCCGCUUGGGGGUGGGGUUGCGUUCCAUCAGCUAGGUGGUGGGGUCAAGGCCUACCAUGGCAACGACGGAUAACCGACCUGAGAGAGUGGGCGGUCACAGGGGCACUGAGACACACGUGCCGCACCUGCGGGGGGCAGCAGUUAAGAGUCGAACGCAAUGGACGAAAGUCUGGGGGGGGGACGGCGCGUGAGGGAUGAGGGUUUUCGGGUCGUAAGCCUAGAAAACAGGGACGAGAAACGCGGAAGGGGGAGGAGGGUACCUGAGUAAUAGCACCGGCUAACUCCGUG